UACGUAGGUGACAAGCGUUGUCCGGAUUUAUUGGGCGUAAAGCGCGCGUAGGCGGCCACUUAAGUCGGAUGUGAAAGCCCCUGGCUCAACUGGGGAAGUGCACCCGAAACUGAAUGGCUUGAGUGCGAAAGAGGGUCGCGGAAUUCCCGGUGUAGAGGUGAAAUUCGUAGAUAUCGGGAGGAACACCGGUGGCGAAGGCGGCGACCUGGGUCGACACUGACGCUGAGGCGCGAAAGCGUGGGGAGCAAACAGG
rnacentral:rRNA from 1 species